ACAACAGGGAUUGCCCUAGUAACGGCGAGUGAAGCGGCAACAGCUCAAAUUUGAAAUCUGGCCCUCGGGUCCGAAUUGUAAUUUGUAGAGGAUGCUUUUGGCGCGGUGCCUACCGAGUUCCCUGGAACGGGACGCCUUAGAGGGUGAGAGCCCCGUACGGUUGGACACCAAGCCUCUGUAAAGCUCCUUCGACGAGUCGAGUAGUUUGGGAAUGCUGCUCUAAAUGGGAGGUAAAUUUCUUCUAAAGCUAAAUAUUGGCCAGAGACCGAUAGCGCACAAGUAGAGUGAUCGAAAGAUGAAAAGCACUUUGAAAAGAGGGUUAAAUAGCACGUGAAAUUGUUGAAAGGGAAGCGUUUGCGACCAGACCUUUUCCCGGCGGAUCAUCCGGUGUUCUCACCGGUGCACUUCGCCGGGUUUAGGCCAGCAUCGGUUUUUGUAGGGGGAUAAAAGCUUUGGGAACGUAGCUCCCUCGGGAGUGUUAUAGCCCUUUGCAUAAUACCCUUACGGGGACCGAGGACCGCGCUUCUGCAAGGAUGCUGGCGUAAUGGUCGUCAACGACCCG
rnacentral:rRNA from 1 species